UUACUCUGGUUUCCCUUCGACACGUAUUAAUCUUUCGCCUUUUACUAAAGAUUACCGUGGAGGGGAAUUACUCAAAUGAGUAUCAGAUAUUUUUGGAGAACCCAGUGAAAGCUGGGUC